GGGGGAGGAUGAGAUGCUGGUGCUCUUCCCGGUCUUCAAAACCGAGCGGGACGUCCGUGAGGCGUCUGGUGGGUUCGAUUCCCACUCUCUCCC
rnacentral:tRNA from 1 species